UACGGAGGGUGCAAGCGUUAUCCGGAUUCACUGGGUUUAAAGGGUGCGUAGGUGGGUUGGUAAGUCAGUGGUGAAAUCCCCGAGCCUAACUUGGGAACUGCCAUUGAUACUAUUAAUCUUGAAUACCGUGGAGGUUAGCGGAAUAUGUCAUGUAGCGGUGAAAUGCUUAGAUAUGACAUAGAACACCAAUUGCGAAGGCAGCUGGCUACACGAAUAUUGACACUGAUGCACGAAAGCGUGGGGAUCAAACAGG
rnacentral:rRNA from 1 species